rnacentral:rRNA from 1 species
GACGAACGCUGGCGGCGUGCUUAACACAUGCAAGUCGAACGGAAAGGCCCUGCUUUUGUUGGGUGCUCGAGUGGCGAACGGGUGAGUAACACGUGAGUAACCUGCCCUUGACUUUGGGAUAACUUCAGGAAACUGGGGCUAAUACCGGAUAGGAGCUCCUGCUGCAUGGUGGGGGUUGGAAAGUUUCGGCGGUUGUGGAUGGACUCGAGGCUUAUCCGCUUGUUGGUGGGGUAGUGGCUUACCAAGGUUUUGACGGGUAGCCGGCCUGAGAGCGUUACCGGCGACAUUGGGACUGAGAGACGGCCCAGACUCCUACGGGAGGCAGCAGUGGGGAAUAUUGCACAAUGGGCGGAAGCCUGAUGCAGAAACGCCGCGUGCGGGAUGACGGCCUUCUGGUUGUAAACCGCUGUCGCCGGUGACGAAGCGGGAGUGACGGUAAUGGGUAAAGAAGCACCGGCUAACUACGUG